AACGAACGCUGGCGGCGCGUUUUAAGCAUGCAAGUCGAACGGGAUGGAUCUUCGGAUUCUGAUCGUGGCGGACGGGUGAGUAACACGUGGAUAAUCUGCCCUACAGUUGGGGAUAACUCAUGGAAACAUGAGAUAAUACCGAAUAGAGACCCUAAGCCAAAUGGCUAUGGGAGGAAAGGAGCUACGGCUCUGCUGUUGGAUGAGUCUGCGUCUGAUUAGCUAGUUGGCGGUGUAAUGGACCACCAAGGCGACGAUCAGUAGCCGGCCUGAGAGGGUGAACGGCCACAUUGGGACUGAGACACGGCCCAGACUCCUACGGGAGGCAGCAGCUAAGAAUCUUCCGCAAUGGACGAAAGUCUGACGGAGCGACGCCGCGUGAAUGAAGAAGGCCGAAAGGUUGUAAAGUUCUUUUCCUGAAGAGGAAUAAG
rnacentral:rRNA from 1 species